GACGAACGCUGGCGGCGUGCUUAACACAUGCAAGUCGAGCGGUAAGGCCCUUUCGGGGGUACACGAGCGGCGAACGGGUGAGUAACACGUGGGUGACCUGCCCUCAGCUCUGGGAUAAGCCUGGGAAACUGGGUCUAAUACUGGAUAUGACUCCACGGUGCAUGUCGUGGGGUGGAAAGCCUUGUGCGGCUGAGGAUGGGCCCGCGGCCUAUCAGCUUGUUGGUGGGGNGAUGGCCUACCAAGGCGACGACGGGUAGGCCGGCC
rnacentral:rRNA from 1 species